CAUAUGAGGUGCAGAAAAUUCUUCUUUUUUCACGCUAUUUUAUGUAUGUUACUCAUGAAGAGAUUAAUGUCUUAUUUAUUUCGUUUUUGUUUUUUUUAUGUAGAAGAAAGUGACAGAAAGCAAAAAUGAGGAUAAGAAUUCCAAAGUUGGAAUAAAGAAAACACCAAUUUCAAGUAUGAAAGAGGCAAAACAUCAAAAGAUUCUGACGACCAAAAAGUAAACGCAUCAGAAAGUCUGUAUGCAAAGCAGAAGAAAGUGACAGAAAGCAAAAUUGAUGAAAAAAAUUCCAAAGUUGGAAAAAAGGAGACACAAAAUUCCAAGAAUGGAAGAAGCAACACGUCACAAGGUUCUGACACAAAAAGUAAAUGCGUUAAAAAAUCUGUCUGCAAAGCAGAAGCUAAAGUCAGAAAUGUUCCACCAACAGCUUUCCAGCCUUUCAACGUUCAACAUAUCUCUGGAUCGCAACAAACUGACAACUUUCCAAAUAUUUUAUGUUUAGGAAAACAGCCGUUUACAUUUAUUAAAAAUUUUAGAGAAGUAAAGAACAAAAAAGUCUUGGACUUAACAUUAAUUAAAUUACAACAAGUAUACGUUAUAACUGGUUACGCAACACCAACAACAAGUAAGCACCUAUUUCAGAAACAAGUGAACAUUUUAGCAGACUUAGUGCCGUUUACUAGUAAACUAAUAAUUAUCGGGGAUUUUAAUUUUGACAACUGUUUAGCAAACAACAGACAAUUUUUCCAAUUUUUAAUUCCCCAAAGACAGCUUAGAUCAGGUUUUUCAGCAGACAGCGUUACGACUAUAUACGGAUCUCAAUUAGACGUAAUAUACACAGAUUUAGAAACUUCAAAUUCCCAAAUUUAUACCACUGUAUUAAGUGACCACGAUCCAAUUUAUAUUCAGAUCCUCCAAACCGAUCAAAAGUAAGCAGCUCCUACUUUACAGCAAUAUUUUUCUAAGACCCUUAAUAUUAUAUAGGUGUCUCAGGAAUUAUUGCGCCAAUAUAGAUUCCGUCCGUUAAAACAAAAUGAUUUUUUCCUAUCAAGUAAAACAUUGUAUGUCUUUUAUAAACUAUAUACGUUUUAAAACAUUUAUGUUUUGAUACUAACAUGCAUAUUUGGAUUUGUAGUCAUGUGCUUAAAAUAAACCAACAUUUUUACCAAUAUAUGUUUUGUGUAUAUUUUCAUCUAAUACAAAUGGAUUUUUUUAUUAUUACCAUAUUUUUAAUUAGGAAAUUUUUAAAAUAAAGGUGAUUGUUUCAAGUGUCGGGACGAGAAAAUGGAAUUCCAACCAAAUAUUUUUACACUUUAUUUCCUCUAGUUAAGACUACAAAAAUUUACUACGUACAUUCUCAGAUUAUCCAAUUAUUUACAGAUAACCAAAAUGCCCACCAUGACCCCAUGGUCGACUCUUCCAGCACGUACGUGGUGGAGCUGACAGCUUGUUUUAUUUAUUUGUCCAUUCAAUCGGUGUUAAUCGGUUCUCGCUUUUUUUUCGUUCGAUUCAUGUCAAUCGAAUAUAUACCCUCUCGUUACAUGCAGACUACCUAUCAUACUCUUUUUUUUUCAACUGAACAAUUCGCCUUCAGAUGCAUCUGUAGCAAUUGUUGCAACGAAUAUGUUGUAGUGCUGAUCUCAGCUCUUUACAUACUCCACUUUAAAUUAUUGUCCAUCGAA
rnacentral:lncRNA from 1 species